CACGUAGGGCGCAAGCGUUGUCCGGAAUUAUUGGGCGUAAAGAGCUCGUAGGCGGACUGUCACGUCCGCUGUGAAAAGCUAGGGCUUAACCCUGGCCUUGCAGUGGAUACGGGCAGACUAGAGGUAGGUAGGGGAGAAUGGAAUUCCCGGUGUAGCGGUGAAAUGCGCAGAUAUCGGGAGGAACACCGGUGGCGAAGGCGGUUCUCUGGGCCGAUACUGACGCUGAGGAGCGAAAGCGUGGGGAGCGAACAGG
rnacentral:rRNA from 1 species